UGUGGCUAUACAUUUUGCCAAAAUAUAGGAUUUUGCUGCAAAGAAUAUCACACUUGGGUCUGUGAAGCAGGUAAUUGCUUGCUGCAGGGGGGCAAUAAAUCACCUAGUGGCACUGCUCUCUUGUUUUGUUCCUGGCAUCCUUCAAUAUAGUGAGGACUGUGAAAUUUAUCCCCUCACACUGCUAAGCAGCCAGGGAGUCCUGCUAUGGCUGUCACUGCGCCCUCCCUGCAGAUCUGCUGACUUGUGUUAACUGUGCCCAAAUAAUACAGCUUUUGUCUUGUUUUCCCAGGCGGCAACUGGUGUGGAGCCAAUCAUGAUGCUCCCUCUGCAGAGAGGAUGCGUAUAAACCAACCUUGAAAGUGUGCUUGACACGCUAAAGGGUAUCUUAUGGCUUGGGAAACUUGAGAUUGAGCUCUUGCCACAACACAGUUUUCUUGCAGGAUGGGGGAAAUUUUUUAAUCCUCCUUGGAUUUCAAUUCCCCAGCAAUGAACUACAAUACAGAACAAAGACAGGUUGCCAUUCACAGAAGUGCAUUCAGUACAGAAAGUGAUCUGCAGCUCAACAAAAAUCUCUUUUUCGGUAUAGAGCCACAGUCAGAACAGCACUCAAGAUGUUACCGCGCAGGAGGUCACUAAUGUAAGAAGGUGCGUGAUGCUUCUGUGUAAAAGUGUUGCAGCUAUAAGAAGUACUCCUCUCAAAGAUAGUACCGCAUGACUAGAAGAGGUUUGCAGAAAGAUGAGAGCAGUCCUGGGUCUAGAGAAAUUAAUCUGAAGAGCAACUGGAAAUACUGAGCUUGUUUAGGAGUUUAACGUGAUGGACAGAAAGACCAACAUCUACUUUUUCCGGCUCAUAACACUGUGACAAGGAGACAAUCGCCAGAAAGAAGCAAGGAGAAUCAAAAUUGGUGCUUUUUUAUACAACACAAAUAGACUGUGGAACUUGCUGGUGCUGCUGAUGGCAAGAAUUUAGCAAGAGAGAAAAGUUUCAUGGCUGGACCAAGAACGAUGCUGCUCUCAGCUGUAUUCCUGCUAAACUAACUGGAUGAUGCACCACGCACUUGUGAAGAAAAAUCAUACUCCUUGUAAUCGAAGAGGACUGAAGGAUGACACGCUGGAAACCUUGGGAGCGGCUAUUCAGAUUCACAGAUGCGGAUAGGUCCACUAGACUGUUUUUUGGAGCUGGGGUCCAAAGUUUUCUUGAUGCAAGUCCCCUGAUAUCAUAAGAUAUUAUGGCCUGGUAUUUUACAGUUGGGUUCUCCCCUUCCAUGUUAUUUUCUGUUUGUAUGACUUAUAAUAAACUUCUUUUUAGUAUGCAGAAAGAAAAUAAGUAAGAGAACCAAAUCUUCCACUUAUACUUCACAAUUUUUAUGCACAGCUCCCUGUCUCAACUACAGGUAGGAAUGGGCAAUGGGCUGAGAGAGUGGUAAGAGCUGCCAAAUUCCAGCGUGCAUCAUCCUCAGAUAGGGAACACAAAAAUGGAGACCCUAAACCAGGCCUAAAACAAGCACAGCCAGACAGCAAAGAGCUUCUGGAGUGUCUGUGUGGAUACUUGGGACAAAUGCCUGGUUGCUCCAUUGUUGAGAAAAAUCUUCCAUUGUCCUCUGCCCUGGAAGAAGCUGGUUGAAGUCCACCACUUGUCAUUUUGGCCUUUUACCAUAAAAUAGAGUUGAAGCAGAAUGCAUUUUUUUCCCCUUCUUCUCCCUUGUAUGUUUCCUUUCUUAUGGAGAAAUAAAAACAAAAAGUGUUACUUCCUUACCUUUAUAAGCUGAAAGAAACAUAGGCACUGAUUUCCUAUUCUUAUUCUCUCACUCCCUCAAAUGUGUCCAUUCCUCACACCCAUAGAAUAACUUGCGCUCCACAGUUCAUUUUUGCCUCUAAAAUUUCCUGCCACACUAACAAUACUGAAAACAUAGCCUUUUGGAAGAGAUCUAUCCUUUGAUAUUAUCUUGAGGGAGUGGAAUAUAACUUUAAAUGCAGCUUCCAUAACAGUGUAGCUGUGGUGCUAAUGGUGGGGUGUGCCUGUUUUCUCCUCUCCUGCCCAGCUUAACCAGCUCAAUUACAUGGCAUGGCCAAGUCACACCCCUGGGUGAACAAUGCUGCUGUUCCUGCACUGCAUUAUUUUUAUGUGAUAUUUAUGCUGAACUGCCCCUCUGCUUGCGUAGUGUGGACUGACUAAAACAAAUCCUGUUGCUGAAGAAUGAAAAACAGGCUUCUAUCAUUGCACUGAAUAGGAGACCUACAUGAAAGAGGAAAUUAGAUGAAUCAAUGAUUGGUACUUUUCUGCUGACUCAGAACUGGAGCAAAGCCCCAUGUGCUUCAACAAAAUCAGAAGGAAUGCAAGAUAAAACCCUGAGAAUUUGUGGUUGAAAAACAAUGGUGCUGUUUUCAUUCAUAUGUGGUCACAUAUUAAUAAUAAAUGGAAC